CCUAGCGGACAGGGCAAAAGAACUGAUGGGUCGUCAGUGGCUGCAAGGCAUCAACAGUGCCAACUGAAAAAAAAUAAAAUGAUUUUGCAUAUAUACAGUCAGAAUACCUUGCAUAUUGUUAGUGCAGGGUAGACAAAGUGAUUCUGCAUUUACAGUCAGAAGACAACGCAUGUUGCUAGAAAGAACAUAUAUUUACCUUUAAGAUGAGCAAAGGGUAUUGUAUCUGUACCUCAUUAAUCUUGCACUGUAAUCUGUGUGCUAUUGAUGAUUUAUCCAAUUAUCAUUUGUUGGAGUGGCCAUAUUGCAACUCCUAUCCCACGUUCUAGCGUGUUCAAGUUUUGGCACUGCUUAUUUCCAUAAAAUCUGUGGUUUAUUCGACACCAGAAAAUUGGGUUUUCUAACCUAGUGAUUAACCCCAUUCAACACAAGUUACUAUGGCUGAGAAAUUCAGACCAUGACAAUGCCCAACUUAUGGAGUACAAUGCUCCACUUUCUUGUUCUGUGCACAAAGCAACAAUGUUGAUUAAUGUGAGCUCGACUCCUAUUUAAGUCAUGCGCCCAUGUCAAUGCAGUAUGAUGCCAAUAUCAAUGUGCCCCGGUGCCUGAUUUUCGUGGAGCACAGGGUUCUCAGAUUCACAUAUACGUCUCUCAUAUUGAGACCAAAACUACGGUGCAUUGAGUUUCUGCAACCCGGUUAACUACUAUAAUAAACUAGUAAUCGAACAACACUCCCCAAGUUUCCACAUCCCUAAGCACAACAGUCGAUUCCAGCAUAAACAUGAUUCUCUCUAUUUUCUUCAACGCAAAUAUAACCAUGAUUAGAACUCAACCGAAUUACCAAAGCAACGAGAAAUUAAAAAAAAAAUCAGUUUCAUUGCCAAGCGAAGAGGAUCCUAUUUGGAAUUCGGAAAAAAGGGGGGAGGGGAGCAACCGUUGGGGAAUGGCAUGGAUGGUUCCCUCUCCCUCGCCGCGUCGGCUUCCCCUGGCCCGCCGCCCAGCCGGCACCGUCGCGACGAGCUGGUCGCCUCGCCUCGCCGCGCCGCCGCCGCCCGUCGCUCUUGUUAUUAGUCGGUGGAGGCAGCCCGCAGGCAGAGGCAUUUGCCCGGACCGUACGAAGUAGACAGAGGUAAGUGCCAGGCCAUGGGCCUUGGCUAGUGUACAUAGUAGAUGGGCCUACCAGGUAAUUGGGCCGGUUCCGAACAAUGGAAAUAGGGAUUAUCUAAACUUCCAUACACCACAUUUUUUUAAAAAAAAAAAGCCUUCCAAAUGUAACUAUAUUUGUAAUAUAAUUCUACCAUAACUAUUCUACUAGUAACAUGCCCGUGCUAAACGCUACGGUGCAAUUCUAUUUUGUGUUAAAUAUUUUCUAAAAUUUCAUGUUAGCAAAAAAUAUUUUUAUAUGAUCCGUGUAUUUAAACUUUAAUUCAAUUCAUAUCGCGCAUCAAAUAUAUUUAAUAUAUAGUACAACAAUAUGAUAUUGCGUAGGCACAAUAAAACUUUACGAGUCAUUCACGCAUAUAUUUGGUCCUAUGUUCUAUAUUUUUUUUACUAUGCUCGAUAUUUCAGACCGAUUGUCUUGGUACACUAUCUUCAACCAAGUUUGACCGAUUUAUUUUAGUCAACUGCGAAUGGUUGGAUGGUACACUAUCUUCAACCAAGUUUGACUCAACCUUUCGCUUUGCGCGUCAUUCAUGUUGUUUUCUAUUUUUUUUUCUUUGGCUAACAAUUCAGCUUGAGAAAGUGAUUUUUGGCGUUGUAAAUACAAAAGGACUAAUAACUUGGUUGGACACGGCCUUUUUCCUUGUGUGGUAUUCAUGUUAUUUUGCAUUAUUUUCAUCCUUCCUACGUUGCACCUCAGAAAGUGUACAUUGAGAUAGGUAGCUGUGAUUAUUGCAAAACCAAACAGACAAGAGUAAUGCUCCGGUGCAAUCUACUUGCAGUAUUCUACUCCAAGUAGAAUUAAUCUUGACCGUUUAUUUUGAAGGGCGGGUAAGUAAUCUCCUAAUAUCGUUUAGGGGUAAUUUUGGCAUGGGAUGUUUUCUUCGGUUCGCAUCGCAUUAGGUCCGGACUCCAUCACACGCAGUCACCUCGCUAUUCCUCCCCCGGCCUCGCCGCCUUGUCCGCCCCCACCGUCGCCGUCCGUAUCUCCCGCCGUCGCCGCCUUGUCCGCCUCCUCAGUCGCAUCGUCCAUAUGGGAGCGGACGAGUGUGGCGGCGUCCGAGCGAGGAUCUUGAGCAGGAGUUCUGGCGGUAGUAAAAAUUCCGACGUGGGCUUCGGCGGCGGCGGCGUCACGCAUGCACGCAACGUCAUUUGCGUGGCGGCAUCGUCUCGGCUCAUUCGUCUUCUUGCCGUUCCGAUCACUGCGUUGUUUCAUGGAUUAUAUGGAUCAAUUAAGAUCUUGCACGACCAACUCCGACGAGGAUGACAUGGUGUUCGAUCUAUGGAUUGUAAAAUGAUAAUACCCCUACGCGAAUUAUUUUUCCUAGACGAAAACACCCCUCCACAUUUCUACUUCCACUAAUUCUGGUGGGAGUAGAACUAGAUCUUAACCCUAUAAUUAAAUAUGAUCGAGGGUCCAGAUUACUUUCUACUCCGAGUAGAAAGCACCGGAGUGGGACUGAACAGACAAUGCAUGUAGCUCAUAAACAUCACGGGUGUAUGUAGAACUGACCAACAAAGUAUAAAAUAUCCGACGUGUUACAACACCGGAAGAAACAUUUGUUAUAUCUUUGAAGGCAAUGUGCCCCCAUUUGGAUCCAUUCUUAACAGAUACUCCCUCCCGUUUCAUAAUGUAAAUCAUUCUAGCAUUACCCACAUUCAUAUAAGUGUUAAUGAAUCUAGACAUAUAUAUAUAUAUAUAUAUAUAUAUAUAUAUAUAUAUAUAUAUAUAUAUAUUUAUUAACAUCUAUAUUUAGCAAUGUUAAAAUGACUUACAUUAUGAAACGGAAGAAGUAUAAUAUAAACAAACUGAGUAGACAAUAACAAGCUGAUUGGUUCACUCCGUCAAAGCCAAUAACAAAGCACAAUAUAAUAUAUAACAUUCUUAUCGGUUUACUCUUUCAAUCAACAGAAGCCUCUUGUGUACAAAGCAUAAUAUUACAACGUAUUAGAACCUCCGUGUUUGCUGAGACGACACAGUAGUAGGGGAUGUGCAACGAGGACAACAUCUGAAUCUGUACAAAGGUUGUUCCCCUGAACAGGGUAAAAAUUAUUAACAAUAUCAUUUGCAAAAGGAAGUAAUAUGGAUUAAAUGUAGCUAAUACAAUUCUAAUCAAUAUGAAAUUAAAAUUGAGUAAAAAGUAACUCCACAUGCUAUAUCUACCCAUCAACUACCCCACAUACUAAAUUAAACAGCAAGUAAAUAUUCAUUUUUUUCAUUAUAGCUAUAUUUCAAUCACUUUUGCACAGAUGCUUAACAGCCAUUCCUAAUAUAAUAUUAUAAUGAUUCAUUAUUCUGUUUUCGUGAUCCCGUACAACGCAGCUGUUCCUUAAUUAGGAAGCGUCGUCAAGUUGAUCCAAUGAAAAAAAAAACUAAACGAUCAGGUCUGAUAAACAAUCAGAUGAUGGCGAUGACAGACUACGAUUUGCAAGGAAAACAAAAUUGCAAACAUGGCUAGAAAGCUGCUCACCGGGGUGGAACUCAUGACCGCACUGCAACCUUGCCGUAGGCCACCAUGUCGAGGCAGAUCAAGCAAAUUUUGAUGAAGUUAAAAAUGUAUAUAGUGGGAGGGAGGAAAAUUAAACCGCAAUGACAGUAACAAAUUGAGUACAUCUUGAAAACCCACUCAGAAAAAUUAGGAACUGAUAUCGUCAAAUUAAAAAAAAUAGAACCUAGCAAAAAUUUCUUGAGUGGAUGUUGACGUUGACUGCAAUUCAUGCCUCACCAAAUAAGCAUUACAACAGUAUAUAUACCCUAUAAUACUCUUAUCUCAGCUGCGUAAAUCAAUUUAUCAUGGCAGUGAAAAAUAGAAGAAUAUUUGACUCAUAGAACUCAAAUAAUGGUGGGCCCUCGUAAGCUAAAAAUACCGUAACCUAAUUUAGUUCUAUCUCACCUUUAUCUGUUUACAAGACGCUCAUUUCAACUUGUUAUCCUAGUAAUUAAUUUCAGAAAGCAGGACACUAUCUAUCACAUCCAUUCCCUGAGUUUCAACUGUAUUGCCACUAAUUUAGCCCCUAAUUGCCAGUUACCAUGAAGAAUUCAAGACCAUUGUUUCAUGACUUGAGCUCCAGGAAAGAUGGAAAUAAUCUUUUUUAGAGAUUCAAGAAGAAGGGAACACCUGCUGGUCUUGAAUUGAUAAUCCUAAAAGGUGUUAUCUAAUUACAUUACAUCAUCAGACAAAAAAAACAAAAUCAGAAACAACGGAAUCUGCUAUCCCAAGUUCCCAACUGACAUGCAAUCUGUUAUGCUGCCAUCAUGAUUAUCUGCAACAAGCCAACAAGGCUGCAACAUCUCUAUACACAAUAUUCUUAGUUGGUCAGUCAUGCUUUGCAUUAAGCUAAUCUGCAGACUGCGGAUCCACCAUACUAAUGUAAGUUAUGAAGUUAUAGAGUUAGUUACUGUUGAAUUCCUCUUCCAAAUAACAAAUCAAGCAAGGCACAAAAGCAACUUUUCUUUCUAGUCCUGCACAAGAGACUAUUUAAAACUGAAGUAUUGAACUAAAAAACCCUUCAUGUAGCAGUAUUUCUCCGAAAUCAUUGACACCUUUAAGAACAUUAUUAUAAUUGUCAUCAAAGCAUAUUCUCCAUUUUGUAUAGCUAGUUCCUAAAACAAUCCCUACUUCCUGUGUAAGAAUAAUGCACUGUCACAAGCAUAUACAAGGUUCAACAUAGUAUCGGCAAUGUGACCGAUGCAAAUCCUACAAAGAAUAAUAUUCAAGAUAGUUGUAUUUAGGAAAAAGUACGAAUUACCCCCCUGAACUAUCACGGUCGUCCGAAUUACCCCCCUGAACCACAAAACCGGACAUUCUUCACCCCCAACUAUGCAAACCGGACGAAUUACCCGCCUCGACCCAAUCCGCGGUGGUUUUGGUCUACGUGGCGUACACGUGGCAUCCCAAUCAGCGUUUUUUAAUUAAAAAAAUGAUGGGACCCGCAUGUCAUACACUCCCACCUCUCUCUCUCUUCACUUUCCUCUCAAUCUCUCUCUCUUCCCCUCUUCCUCUCAAUCUCUCUCUCUCUGCAGGCAUGUACGGUGGCAUGCUUGCUGCGAUAGUGAUGAUGCUUUUCAUGGUUGAUCCAGUCCUUCAACACGUGACGAUCUUGCUCGAUUUAUGUGGUUUUGCCAUACUGUCAUUUGGCAACUUGCAGAUUCCUGCAGCUAUCGUGCGCGAAGAGCUCGCGAGGAUGCGCCUUACGCAACAUGACUCCUUCGGCGUUGGUGAGAAGACAAAUCUUGGCCAAUCUCUUACCAUCCUCUGCAGCAUGGUGCUUGGCCAAGGCAUAAUCCCUUCGUCCAAAAAAAAAAAAAAGACAAACACUAGAAUUUCGUGUCCAACGUUUGACUGUCCGUUUUAUAUAAUUUUUUUUAUAAGUAUUUUCAUUGUUGUUAGAUGAUAAAACAUGAUUAAUACUUUAUGCGUGACUUGUCUUUUUAAUUUUUUUCAUAUUUUUUUUAAAUAAGACGGACGGUCAAACGUUGAACACGAAAAUCCAGCGUUUGUUUUAUUUUGGGACGGAGGGAGUACUUUACAUCGUUGCCAGCACGCUGGAGGUCUUCUCGUUCAUCCAUCGGAGAUCCCUCGUUCGCCAUGGUGGAUUCACAGGGGAGUUGAAUCUGUCAAUCUGUACUAUGCCUAUGCCUUCGACAAAUACAUGGAAGGAGGUGUGUUUGCUCCAAAGAGGAUCAACCUCAGCAACUUUGCGAUAGAUUCUAUAAACUCUGACAUGUCCAAGAAUCAGCUGUACGGGAUCCGGAUGAUGCACACUUUUCUGCAAAGAGAUCCGACAAGAGCACAACUCCUGGAGAAACUCACCACUUCAACGCAGACGAAGGCCAGGUUGAUCAACAUGUUGGACUGGACUGAUGGAAACCAUCAUACAACCGUGGGAAAAAAACAAAAAGAAAAGAGAAACCGUGAGCUGCCCGCGGCGCCCUCUCCACGCGCGACACGUGUCCAGUCGCGCGCGCUUAUUAGCUUUUUCGUAUAUCAACUCCUCCAAGUAUCAAAACCGGUGCAAACAAUGUCUCUCGGUGGUUUUAGAGGUGGUUUUAAUUAGCGUGGCGCCUAUGUGACGGUCUUGACCAAGUCUUUAUCCUACGUGGUGCUUAUGUGGCAUUAGAAUAAAAACAAAAAUAAAAAAUAUGUGAGACCCAUAUGUCAUUAAAAAAAAGAAUUGUGGGACCCAUAUAUCAUCCUCUCUCUCCUUCCCUUCUUCCUCCCCCUCUCUCUCCCUUAUCUCUCUCCUCCACCCCCUGGCCCCGGCCUUUCUCUUGGCCGAGCGGCAGCGGCGACGUUCAGCAGUGGCGGAGCCAGGGCUCCUCAGCCUUUUAGACCUUAUAACAAUAUCAGACAAAGUCUAUUUUAGCCCCCUUACAAUAUAUAUAUAUAUGGGUUUAAAUUUUAGGAGGUUGUAACGGGGGCUCUAAUGGUUUAUUAAGGGUAGAGGGGUCUAAAGACCCUCCAGCCCCCACGCUGCCUCCGCCACUGACGGUUGGGACGACGGCGGUGGGGAGCGGCGGCGGCGGCGGCGGUGGCGGUGGGGAUGAGGGUGGGGAGCGGUGGCGGCGGUCCCACGAACUGGAUGAGAUCGGAAGCCUUGCUCCAUGCAAAACUGCAAAUGAAAGAAGCAGAGAAACAAACUUGCAACGACAGAAGGAAACAAAAAGCAUCCCAAAUCUGUGCAUCCACACACCCAUACAGAGGUAAAUUAAACAGAUCGAUCUGACGAACGCAAGUACAGGAGCACAGUAGUAAACGGCAUGCAUGGAGUACGCAUAGAUCUGGGGGGUGGGAAGGAGAGGAAGAAGCCGGGUGAGGUGAGCUCGCAUCGUAGUGGAAGAGGUUGUUAUCGGCGACGUUGACGAGGGAGUGGUUCGCGCGGACACCACCUCCUUCCCGGCCGCGCAGGGUGGGCGAGCCCCUUCUUCGACACCGGCGCCUCGCCAGCCGACGCGGACGCGGACGCCGUCGCUGUGGGUGGCGCUAGCGCGGUCUCCGACACGAACAGCUUCGCCACCGCCGCCGCCGCUCCCCACCGCCGUCGUCCCGACCGUCGCCGCCGCCGCUCGGCAUGCUACUCAAUUUGUUGCAACCAUGCCCUUUCGUGUUAAAUGUGGUGUUCUUUUCUUCUAAAAAGGAAGAUGAAGAUUAAUUUUUUUACGCAAAACGAGAUGGUAUUAAUGUAUGAUUGAUUAAGUUUUAAUUAUUAUAAGCUUAAAAAAUAGAUUAAUUUGAUAUUUUUGAGAAACUUUUAUAUUUAAUAAAGUUUUUUAAUCUUGUUGGAGAAAGGAACGGGACCAAAGUGAUUGGAAGUUAUGUUAGUCAAAACCGCCUUAUAAACCACGGAAGAGGCGAAAAGAAACCCUUCCGUCAGUUACGUGGUUCAGGGACGAGAAUCGAGAGUCAGACGUCUAGCAUCGGGGCCGAUGAGCAGUCGACCACAGCGCGUCGCCUCCUUCCUUAGCUGCAAGCCAUGGAAAAACGUUGUCGGCUUCACACCAUCCGAGCUUCCGGCCAUGCUUCUAUCUGCUUCCAUCCAGCGUGCUUGAAUAAUCGAGAUUAGCUCGAAAGGACACUACUCGCUACUGUGCAAGCGGCCCAUGACAGGCCGCGGUGACAACAUGGCCAAAAACAACAACGUGAAACCUCUGCAGUUGAAACAACAACGUGAAAGGUGAAACCAACCUCAAAACCUCUGCAGUUGAUAAAAAUAACAGGAAAGCUGAUACCAAAGUACCCACCGUAUCUUUUCAAUGUCAGUGGAAUCUUAGGGAGCACGCUCAAUAAGCUUCUCAAACAUGUGUGAUUUAAUUACAGGUACGUGUGAAUUACCCGAAUUUUUUAGAUGUAAGCACAUGCAAUCCAGUAAUUACAAAAAUAAGCACGCAACAACCACAUUUAGAUGUAUAGGCAAGAUGCUCACAUGAAACACGGUGCUUCCAUUGAACCACUUGACCAACAGACUAAUGGGCCGCUGAAUUAAGAACGUUAGCGCAAGAACCCACAUCACCAAUUGGUUAAAUGCAUCAUUACGGGAGCAUGCAUGGUUUAAUUGUGUUGUUUUCAUUUUACAACUUAUUGUAGCAUAUGUAUUUCUUACAUUAUUUUUUUAAAAAAGAAAACAUAUAUCUACGAUGUGAGCUAUGAGACCAAAACUAUUGCUAUUAGCUGAAGAAAAAGAAGAGGAUUAAUACUACUCCCUCCAUCUACUUUUGAUAGUCAUAUUUUCAAAUCUGAAAAAUUUAUUUUUGAUAGGCAUAUUUCAAUCCAACAACCUAUCAUCUUAAUGACUUUCUCGGAUUUAAUGCAUGACUCUUCAUUUUUCCACACAUGAUUCGCUACAUGAAAAUUGAGAAAUGUAAAUAUUAAUGUAUCGCUUGUUUACGAGAAAUGACUAGUAGCAUGUUUGAAUGGAUGAUAAGUAGAAGUACUUAUCCUUGGUCUAUAUGUCAAGAUGAAAUAUGACUAUCGAUGAUGGAGGGAGUAUUGGGCUGCUCGCACGUUAAUGCUAGAAACAAGACCGGCCGCAAAACCCCCCUUGGUUAACCCGAUAUUGACAGUGCUCAAGUACUUGUGCGAAGGUUGGUUAGAAUUAGAAUUCCAAACAAUGCGUGCUCACAUAUGUAAUUAUUGGGCUGCAUGUGUUUAGUUGAUAAAAAUAACAGGAAAGCUGAUACCAAAGUACCCACCGUAUCUUUUCAAUGUCAGUGGAAUCUUAGGGAGCACGCUCAAUAAGCUUCUCAAACAUGUGUGAUUUAAUUACAGGUACGUGUGAAUUACCCGAAUUUUUUAGAUGUAAGCACAUGCAAUCCAGUAAUUACAAAAAUAAGCACGCAACAACCACAUUUAGAUGUAUAGGCAAGAUGCUCACAUGAAAUACGGUGCUUCCAUUGAACCACUUGACCAACAGACUAAUGGGUCGCUGAAUUAAGAAUGUUAGCGCAAGAACCCACAUCACCAAUUGGUUAAAUGCAUCAUUACGAGAGCAUGCAUGGUUUAAUUGUGUUGUUUUCAUUUUACAACUUAUUGUAGCAUAUGUAUUUCUUGCAUUAUUUUUUAAAAAAAGAAAACAUAUAUCUACAAUGUGAGCUAUGAGACCAAAACUAUUGCUAUUAGCUGAAGAAAAAGAAGAGGAUUAAUACUACUCCCUCCAUCUAUUUUUGAUAGUCAUAUUUUCAAAUCUGAAAAAUUUAUUUUUGAUAGGCAUAUUUCAAUCCAACAACCUAUCAUCUUAAUGACUUUCUCGGAUUUAAUGCAUGACUCUUCAUUUUUCCACACAUGAUUCGCUACAUGGAAAUUGAGAAAUGUAAAUAUUAAUGUAUCGCUUGUUUACGAGGAAUGACUAGUAGCAUGUUUGAAUGGAUGAUAAGUAGAAGUACUUAUCCUUGGUCUAUAUGUUAAGAUGAAAUAUGACUAUCGAUGAUGGAGAGAGUAUUGGGCUGCUCGCACGUUAAUGCUAGAAACAAGACCGGCCACAAAACCCCCCUUGGUCAACCCGAUAUUGACAGUGGUCAAGUACUUGUGCGAAGGUUGGUUAGAAUUAGAAUUCCAAACAAUGCGUGCUCACAUAUGUAAUUAUUGGGCUGCAUGUGUUUAGUUGAUAAAAAUAACAGGAAAGCUGAUACCAAAGUACCCACCGUAUCUUUUCAAUGUCAGUGGAAUCUUAGGGAGCACGCUCUAUAAGCUUCUCAAACAUGUGACCCUGUUUAGAUGGGACUAAAACUUUUAAGUCCCUAUCACAUCGGAUGUUUAAAAAUUAAUUAUAAAUAUUAAACGUAGACUAUUAAUAAAACCCAUCCAUAAUCUUGGACUAAUUCGCGUGAUGAAUCUAUUGAGCCUAAUUAAUCCAUGAUUAGCCUAUGUGAUGCUACAGUAAACAUUAUCUAAUUAUAGAUUAAUUAGGCUUAAAAAAAUGUUAAGCGAAUUAGGUUUCAUUUAUGUAAUUUGUUUCGUAAAUAGUCUAUAUUUAAUACUCUAAAUUAAUGUCUAAAUACAGGGACUAAAGUUAAGUCCUGUAUCCAAACAGCACAGGUACAUGCGAAUUACUGAUCCGCUUUGUGCAGUUGCUGUUGUUAUUUUGUUCUGAAAUGUGAUACAAAUGCAAGCUGCUACGGUGCUCGUGCUCCCUGAACUGGCUCCUCUGACUUUGGCAUCAAAAGUCCGGAAAGCAGUGUAAAACAGUGAAAGUUAUCCUAUAGAGGUAUUGUUCACAGUUUUAGCGUGUCACAUCGAAUAUAUGGACACACAUUUGAAGUAUUAAACGUAGUCUAAUAACAAAACAAAUUACAGAAUCUACUUAUAAACUGCGAGAUGAAUUUAUUAAGCCUAAUUAAUCCAUCAUUAGCAAAUAUUUACUGUAGCUCCACAUUGUCAAAUCAUGUAGCAAUUAAGCUUAAAAAGAUUUGUCUCGCAAAUUAGUCGCAAUAUGUGUAAUUAGUUAAUUUUUUUAGCUUAUAUUUUAUACUUCAUACAGGUGUUCAAACGUUCGAUAUGACAGGGUAGAAAAUUCUGAGGUGGAUUUAAACAGGACCUAUGAUCUUGUUCUGUGAAUGGCUAAACAUACCUCCAAAGCCCUUGUUUAGUUCUAAAUUUUUUCUUCAAACUUUUAACUUUUUCAUCACAUUAAAACUUUCUUACACACAUAAACUUUCAACUUUUCUAUCACAUCGUUCUAAUUUCAACCAAACUUCUAAUUUUAGCCUGAACUAAACACACCAAAAGUCAUGAGAACUGUAGCUAUGUGACUUUACACAUUUAAAGCGAGAGGAUCUCAUUCCCUCCCGCUCUCACUUGAGCUGCCCAGUGGACUGCUCUGCUUCGUUGGACUUGGAGUAGGCACUAGGCAGUAUGGCAAGGCCGUCUCCCGUUGAGGCAAGCGGUGGUCCGGUGAUGGGAGACAUCACCGGCGGCGGUGGAGAGCUUCGAGUCCAGAUAGCAGCCAACUCCGGCGGGCAAGGUGGCAAGGUCGUCGGCGCCGCGCCGGAGAAGUGUCUGAAUCGCUUCGUCCGCGUGGUGGCGCUGAUGGAGAGGACGGGCAACGCCCUCGGCACGCUGGCCUUCACCUGGGCUACCGUCAUCCUCCUCGGCGGCUACCCCACCGUGCUUGACUCGAAGCCGAAGAACAAUAGCGACUAUUGGUUCACGACAGUCAUCGUAUUCAUAGAAGCCGCAAGGUAUGCAACUACAUUAUGGCCUGGUUUAGUUCCUAAUUAUUUUUUUCCAGAAACGUCGCAUCGAAUCUUUGAACACACGCAUAAAACAUUAAAGGGAUCUCAACAUUAAAUAUAGAUAAAAAAAAAACUAAUUAUACAGUUUGCAUGGAUAUCGCGUGAUGAAUCUUUUGAGCCUAAUCAGCCCAUGAUUAGCCAUAAGUGCUAAAGUAACCCACAUGUGCUAAUGACGGCUUAAUUAGACUCAAAAGAUUCAUCUCGUGGUUUCCAGGCGAGUUAUGAAAUUAGUUUUUUCAUUCGUGUCUGAAACCCCUUCCGACAUCCGUUGAAACAUCUGAUAUCACCAGAAAAGCUAAUGCGUGCGAGCGCGCUAGCGGCGCGCGUUUCGGCCCAGAGGGCCCAGCGCCGGCGCGUGCGCGCGUCCUCUGACCUUUUUUUUCUUUUUUUUAAUAAUUUUUUCGUUUUUUUUCUUUCACACUUUUUUCUGAUUAUUUUUUUAAUAUUUUAGCAUAUUUUGAGUUUGAAAGUUUUUAAUUUUUGAGUUGAAAAUUUUCAAAUCUGAACUUGAAAAUUUUUAAAUCUCGACUUAAAAGUUUUCAAAUCUCGAUUUGAAAAUUUUCAAUUUUUUUCAAAUCUCGAUUUGAAAGUUUUCGAAUCUCGAUUUGAAAGUUUUCAAAUUUUUCAAAUCUGGACUCGAAAGUUUUCGAAUCUCAAUUCUCGAGUUGAAAGUUUUUAAAUCUCGAGUUGAAAGUUUUCAAAUCUGAGUUGAAAGUUUUCAAAUCUUAAGUUGAAAGUUUCAAAUCUGGAUUGAAAGUUUUCAAAUCUGAGUUGAAAGUUUUUAAAAUUUAAAACUUAAAUCGAAAGUUUUCAAAUCUAACUUAAAAAAAUUUAAUCUAUUAGUAAAAAAAUCUCCCAAAAAAAUCCUAACAAAAUCUCCCAAAAAAAUCUCCAGAAUCUUUCCUAAUUACUAUCAUUAGGAUUAAGUAUAUUAACUAAUAUAGGUAGUUAAGACUAAAGAGAAGGAGGGAUUGUUUGCCAGCUGCUUUCCUACCGUGCACGCGCGUGCUAGCCACCCCUAAUAUGACACCCAAAAAAUUUCUUUUCGUGAACUAAACACAACCUAUGUACAUGUGAUUUUGUUUAGUGUACGUCAAUACGUGUGAGGACAUAUUACGUGAAAACGAACUAAGAGUUAAUAAUUCGUGAAAAUAGUACCUAAGGUUUUAUAUAUUCAUAAAAAAGUUACUUGAGAUUGAUGUAUAUGAAAUACAUUUUACCAAAACUCAACUUUAUAUGGGAGUAAAAAAAGGAUAAAUUUCGGGUGAAUAGUGACAGGGUAUUAUUCAUUUGAAAUUUGUUAUUUUUGUUUCUAUCAAAUGAAGUUGAGUUUGGACAUGAGAUUUGGCAAGAUUCUACACCUAUCUUAAUUUUUUUCAUAAAUUUAAAAAACUUUUAGGUAUGAUUUUACGAAAUUUCAACACUCAAUUUUUACAUGAUAUUUCUUUAUGCGUGUUAUACUACUAGCAGUACAGCAGUACGGGAUAUGAACACUGUUUUUUUUCUUUUCUUUUUUUUUUUCGAGAGGACAUGCACGGGUAAAAAAAAAAUUCCCUUGAGAGAACGUCUCAUCUUUUCAAAUUCAAAUACAAUAUGCACAAGUUAAAAUGGAAAGGAUAAAUUUGACUGUAAAUAGUGUACUUAGGCCGAGUUUAGUUCUAAAUUUUUUCUUCAAACUUUCAACUUUUUCAUCACAUCAAAACUUUCCUACACACACAAACUUCCAACUUUUUCAUCACAUCGUUCCAAUUUCAACCAAACUUCCAAUUUUGACGUGAACUGAACACACCCUUCCAAUUUUGUAUUAUUUUUUACAACAAAUUGGCUAGUCUUGAAUUGGUUUGCUAGUAAAGUUGCUUCUUGACAUUUAAAACUAAGACAAAUAAUUCGGCAAGGUAGUUUUUUUCUUUCUACAAGCAAAACAAAUAACAAAUAUUUUUGUCAUCGCCAUUUUUUUUUGCUUGGUUGAGAUUGGCUACAAACUUACCGUUCAUAUUACCCCCUCGAUUUUUUACGUUGUAUACUCUGCAGUGCUGUGCAGGCUAGUAUUAUAUGGUUUUGGUUUCACCCUUUUCUUUAAUUACACCAUACUCGUGCUUUUCAGGAUGUUCAGCAGCGACAAAUCCGAUUAUCAGUUGUUCUUCCGAGCAAGAGGUGCUUUCAGAUUCCUUGGAAGCAGUGGACUGAUUGCAAUCGUAUUCUUUUGGGAUGCAUACGCAAUGCUGGGCAUGGUUGCUUCGAACUUGCCUGCCUGGGCACACAACUUACUUUCAAUCUUGUUAAUACUGGUACCACUUGCGAUUGGCCAGCUUCUAAGAGCAGCUCGAAGACCGACCAGUAAGUUUAACUGGCUGUGGCCUGCGAUCUGUCUGGUCGCAAUCCUAUUGCUAGCUUUUCCAGUACUUGUAUAUUACGACCCGCGAAUGCACAAAAUCAAUUUCAUAAACCGAUUGACCGUGUGGAUACCGUACAUAUUUCUCUCUGCGAUUGUGCUCCUAGUAACGAUCAGCAGGCUGCAGUACCCAAUUAUCACAAACCUAGUGCACGGUGCUCUGGGCAGCAAGCAUGCAUUUUGGAGUCGGUUUAUUCUAAUUUCAUGCAUCUUUGCUGCAAUAGUGAUGCUGGUUGUCAUGGUUGAUCCAGAGUGUCGAUUAAUUAUGAUCGCGAUCGCAAUCAUACUGUCAUUUGGCAACUUACAUAUCCCAGCAGCACUCAUGCGUGUCAACCUCGCGGGGAUGCGCCUUGCAAAACAUAACUACUUCGGUGUUGAUGACCGACAAAAUCUUGGUGAAUCUCUAACCAUAUUCUAUAGCAUGGUGCUUGGCCAAGGAAUACUUUACAUCGUUGCAGGCAUACUGGAGGUCUUCUCGUUCAUCCCUCGGAGAACCCUCGUCCGCCGUGGUGGAUUCACAGGCCAAUGGGGAGUUGAAUCUGUCAAUCUAUACUACACAUACGCCUUCGAGAAAAACAUGGAAGGAGGUGUAUUUGCUGCAAAGAGGAUCAGCCUCAGCAACUUUGCCAUGGAUUCUAUAAAUUCUGACUUGUCCAAGAAACAGCUGUAUGGGAUCUGGAUGAUGCACAUUUUUCUGCAGAGAGAUCCGACCAGGGCACAGCUACUGGAGAAACUGACCACUUCAACGCAGACCAUGGCUAGGUUAAUCAGUAUGCUGGGCUGGACUAGCAGAAAUGAUCAUACAACUAUCAGGUUAUAUGCCGCCAAGGUAACUGCCGAGCUUGCAAAGAGCCUCCGAGUUGUAACUGUCCCUGGGACGAUGUACCUUGUUUCUACACUCCUGGAUACUGACAGAAAACCAAAAAGAAGACACCCGCUUCUGGAUGAAGAUGAUGAUCGAGAUCCUUUAUUUGUUGAUACAGUAGAAAGUCAGGAGAAAAGUCUGGAUGCAGCUGGUGAUCAAGGGCAAAGACAAGGGUCAGCUGGGGACACUGAUAUCAUGCUGAAAACACCAACCCGAUCAACGCACAUGAACAACCCAAGAUCCACAUACAAAUGCUGGGAAUCCACAUACAAAUGCUGGGAGAGGAUAUCAGAGUACCAGUCAAUUCCCAAGGAGCGACCAUUAACAGACGAUGAUCUUCUCCCUGCACUAGGCAUGUCAAUUGUUUAUAGCCUUGCUGGUUGUGAUCAAAAUAACUGUGUGGAAAUCGACAAAGUAACUGACCUGAUCCCAAAAAUCAUUGGAUUCACAAGCUUCAGAAGCGCAACGUUAAAUUCCGAAGCACAACAGAAGGUUCUCAUAAAGUUAUCACUGCAGGCGCUGCAGAGGCUCACAAGCAUUGAAGGGGAAAUUGGCAUGACACUGCGGUACAAGAUAACAAAACAUCCCUUCUUACUGCGAAAUCUUGCAGAGAUCUUGAGAGACAGCAGCAGUAGCAAUCAAGAACUAAGGAGGCUCGUGGCAGGAAUCCUUAGAAAUCUUGCCAUUGACAGAGACACAAGGCAGGAGAUUGGACAAAUGCAAGUGCUCAUUACCAGGCUGAUCAAAGCAUUCCUCGAUUCCAACGGACCAUCUAGUUCAGAUGUUGAUUGCUUGCUGCCAAAGGUCGCUGGGCAAGCACUGGUAAUGCUGUCAUUAGAAAAUUCACAUAACUGCUUCGUUAUAUUGAAGGAACCAGAGUUUAUUAAUAAACUAAAAAAUAUGAUACUAAUCCAUGAUGAUAAAUACAUAUAUGUGGCAGCAAGCCUGUUGCGUAAUAUGUGCCUGCACGCUCAACCCGAGCUCACAGAAUUAGACCUAAAGGAACUAUCUCAGACCUUGCGAGAGGUGAGCUCUGCUAAUCCAUACCACAAGUGCAAUAUUAGAGGUGUAUAGUAUGUCAUAACAUCUGUGCAUUUGCUGUAUAUUAGUUUUUGCCAAGUUUUGUCAUUUUUUUUAGAAAAAGGGCAUUUAUUUACCAAUGAACUAUAUAAGUAUAACUAUAGUUUGUACAACUAUAUUUAUCAUGCUAGAUGACAUUGCUGCUUCCACUACAGGUGUUGGAAAGAAUAAUGGACGCUGAAGGGGCGGAACUAGAAAUCCUGAUUGGCCUUAGUUCACAGAUAUGCAAACUCAUUCCUGAAGAAUUUUCCCAACAGCUAGAGCAUGGACAGAUUAAGCGGAGAUUCAUUAAGAGGCUAGUGGACACACUGAAUGCAAACAUGAACCCAAGUUCUCAUUGCCCUGGGAUCCGGAGGGUGGUACUUGAGCAAUCCAUAUACAUGAUGGAGUACAAUUCUCACUAUGCCAAUUGUUUCAAUGAAUACCAGAUGAUGGACGCACUGUCAAUUGUAGAAUUGACGCCCUCAAGGGCUGAGAAUUACAUGGUUUUCUUGGGUGACACAGGUUUCAUGGAAUGUAACACACCUCUCUCUGCCCUAGCGGACAGGGCAAAAGAACUGAUGGGUCGUCAGUGGCUGCAAGGUAUCAACAGUGCCAAUUGAAAAAAAAUAUAAAAUGAUUUUGCAUAUAUACAGUCAGUAAGACCUUGCAUAUUGUUACUGCAGGGUAGACAAAGUGAUUCUGCAUUUACAGUCAGAAGACGACCCAUGUUGCUAGAAAGAAAAUAUAUUUACCUUUAAGAUGAGCUAAGGGUAUUGUAUCUGUACCUCAUUAAUCUUGCACUGUAAUCUGUGUGCUAUUGAUGAUUUAUCCAAUUAUCAUUUGUUGGAGUGGCCAUAUUGCAACUCCUAUCCCACGUUCUAGCGUG
rnacentral:lncRNA from 1 species